rnacentral:lncRNA from 1 species
GAAUGGUUGACGCUGAGUUCUUCAGCAACUUCUCAUGUAGCUUUAAAAGGAUCAGCUUCGAUGACUGCUCUCAAUUGGUUGUUAUCAACUUCUGAAGGCCGGCCACUAAGCUCCUCAUCCUCAAGGUUCUCAUCUCCUUUGCAAAACUUCUUGAACCAUCACUGCACGGCCAAUAUGGUGAGAUAAUGGCUCAUGGCAGACAACAAACAUCUAUGCCUCGACUAACUGUUCCCGAAACUACUGUCCAUUAAUUAAUCCUAAAGCCAAAAGAGGGUAAUAAUCAGAAAAGUAUUUUAUACCUAAGAGCUCAAAAGAUCAGCUAGAUGGGAAGAAUCACUGAAGCACUAAACAGUAUCAUACAGAUUUGAAAGUUA